UAGUUGGUGGGGUAAUGGCCUACCAAGGCGACGAUCAGUAGCGGGUCUGAGAGGAUGAUCCGCCACACUGGAACUGAGACACGGUCCAGACUCCUACGGGAGGCAGCAGUGGGGAAUUUUGGACAAUGGGGGCAACCCUGAUCCAGCCAUUCCGCGUGAGUGAAGAAGGCCUUCGGGUUGUAAAGCUCUUUCAGCCGGAACGAAACGGUAUUCCUUAAUACGGGGCGCUAAUGACGGUACCGGCAGAAGAAGCACCGGCUAACUACGUGCCAGCAGCCGCGGUAAUACGUAGGGUGCGAGCGUUAAUCGGAAUUACUGGGCGUAAAGCGUGCGCAGGCGGAUUGUUAAGCAAGAUGUGAAAUCCCCGGGCUUAACCUGGGAAUGGCAUUUUGAACUGGCAGUCUAGAGUGUGUCAGAGGGGGGUGGAAUUCCACGUGUAGCAGUGAAAUGCGUAGAUAUGUGGAGGAACACCGAUGGCGAAGGCAGCCCCCUGGGAUAACACUGACGCUCAUGUACGAAAGCGUGGGUAGCAAACAGGAUUAGAUACCCUGGUAGUCCACGCCCUAAACGAUGUCAACUGGUUGUUGGGGGAGUGAAAUCCCUUAGUAACGAAGCUAACGCGUGAAGUUGACCGCCUGGGGAGUACGGUCGCAAGAUUAAAACUCAAAGGAAUUGACGGGGACCCGCACAAGCGGUGGAUGAUGUGGAUUAAUUCGAUGCAACGCGAAAAACCUUACCUACCCUUGACAUGUCCAGAACCCUGCAGAGAUGCGGGGGUGCCCGAAAGGGAAUUGGAACACAGGUGCUGCAUGGCUGUCGUCAGCUCGUGUCGUGAGAUGUUGGGUUAAGUCCCGCAACGAGCGCAACCCUUAUCAUUAGUUGCUACGCAAGGGCACUCUAAUGAGACUGCCGG
rnacentral:rRNA from 1 species